rnacentral:rRNA from 1 species
GUCCACGCCGUAAACGAUGUCUACUUGGAGGUUGUGGCCUUGAGCCGUGGCUUUCGGAGCUAACGCGUUAAGUAGACCGCCUGGGGAGUACGGUCGCAAGAUUAAAACUCAAAUGAAUUGACGGGGGCCCGCACAAGCGGUGGAGCAUGUGGUUUAAUUCGAUGCAACGCGAAGAACCUUACCUACUCUUGACAUCCAGAGAACUUUUCAGAGAUGAAUUGGUGCCUUCGGGAACUCUGAGACAGGUGCUGCAUGGCU